GCCAGGCACGGUGGCACAUGCCUGUAAUCCCAGCAGCUUGGGAGGCUGAUGCAGGAGGAUCUCGAGUUCAAAGCCAGCUUCAGCAAAAGCGAGGCACUAAGCAACUCAGUGAGACCCUGUGUCUA
rnacentral:sRNA from 1 species